rnacentral:tRNA from 4 species
GCGUCCUUGCACAGAAUUGGUAAUGUAGCGAGCUUUUAACUCGUCACCCUUAGGGUAUUGUAGGUUCAAGUCCUACAGGGCGCA